CUUGGCCCAAAUGAGGGCAUUAGUAAAUAUGUCUUUCCUCUCCUGGGAAUGGUGUUCCCUCAUAGCAUCAUUCUGAAUGAUCACUUUCCAUAAAGGCAAGAGUUUAGUCUUUCAAAUGAACUAUAUGGCAAUGGAAGAGGCCAUUGGUUCCAAGGGCAGAAGACUGGUGCUACCCUUGGGCAUGGGAAAAACAUUAGGAUCAAGAGCCCAACUACUGGUGCCAGACUGCCUGGAUCUGCAGUUAAUUCUGCUACAAGCUAUAGUUGGAAAUUGAAGAAUGCAAUGGAAAGCAAGAUGAACAAGGCAAGGGUGUGUAGCCACCAUUCCCGGAUCCAGGGAGCCAUUACUGAGUUAGAGACAUCCCUGCCACGUGGCACAUAGAUUUAUAACUCUGAGCAAAGGUUUCAACAAAUACGAUUUCUUCACUCCAAAGUCCGGCUAUGUGUGCUCCCUGAAAUAAAGAAGAGAGUAUUUCUGUCUGCUGGUCUCUAAUCCCAGGAACCUUGGCAGCAGAGGCAGGGGGAGUUCCAAAAGAUCUUCUUAUAGCUCUGGAGAUAAUGACUGGCUCAAACAAGCUGGCACCGCAUGGGGACACCCAUGGACCUUAUUUAUCUCUCUCUCUCUCUCUCUCUCAUUUUUCUUUUUUUCAGGCUGACAUAGUGUCUGUACUGACACAGGCAGUCUAGAAAAAAGAAACUGUAUCUUUUAUAACUUUUACUGAAGUGAGAUAAGUGGAAAGAUCAUAACUGAAAGAUUUGUUGAAGA